UAAGUAAGGCAUCCGGCUACCAACUCUAUGGCUAACAACUUUGCAAAGUUCUACACCAACACCUAUGGCUGCAUAGGCUACGCGAGUUUGUCUGCUUAUAAAAAAGUAGCAUGCCUGCCACUGGUCUAUCAAGUCUAAAGGUUAGGGCAUUGAUGCGUAAAAUAAGUUAACACACAAAUUAAACCCUCUUUUUGACAAUUGUAGUAUAGAUGUAAGUAGGGUAUCGUUCUAGACCGGGGAUUAGGAGGGAUUGCUAAUCUAUUCUAAAUUAAUUUAAAAAUAUUAAACAAGACUCAAGGACACGAAACUAGGCUAAAAAAAACUCUAAUAACUCGAAACACACUUAGAAUGACUCAAAAUAAUGAAAACAAUCAAAUUAGACACUAGGAACUGAAAUGGACGGAAAUUGAAUUAAAAGACUAACAACAAUGAAAACUAACUAAAUAGUAUAAUUUAAUAAUGGGGGGUUUGGUUUUGAUGAGAAGUAAAUUACACUUAAAUAAAUUACAGAAUUGACAAAAGCAUGAAAUUAAGGUGAAAGGAUAGGUGACAGACUAGCUAGAGGGUUCUUCUCCACACAUGACACAUAUGC
rnacentral:lncRNA from 1 species